UAUCAGAAGGUACAGAAUUGUGAUCUCAUGCAACCAGUGUUUAUUUAUAUAUUAAUCAAAAAAAAAGAACAACUUGCUUGUAUGCUUAUAUUAGGUUAUACUAGUAAGUAUUCAUGCAUGUAUAUCUUUUUUAGUGCGAAGCAGUAAUUUCUAAUAUUAAUAAAAAUAUACUUUUUGUGGACAUUGGGGGGUCGUGAAGACUCUAUCAGUGAGUAUUUGUUCUCGGAAGGACUAGAUAUGUAUAUUGAAUAAUCGGACAUAGUACGAUAAGGUUGUAUGUCUAAAGGGAAAUAGCCCAGAACAAGAGUUAAUAAGGUUCCAAAAUUUUUGUUAAGUGAAAUUAAGGCAGUAUUUAUCCCAAUCGGCCAGGGAAUAGGCUUAGAAGCGGCCAUUUUUUGAAGAUCUCGUAACAGAGCACUGGUUUUAUAUUUUAUGGAUAAAAGCACCGAAAAUUUAACGGAUCUAAACAAAAUACCGAUACCUUGUCCAUAUAUAUUAAUGUGUAUAUUAUGUAUUGUAUAUAUGGGGUAGCGGAACAUUGGGUGUGAAACAGCCAUUUUUAAUCCUUUAUAAGGAUUAAAUUGCCUAGAGUUUUUAUUAAUCUCUAGACUAAAUAAGCCCAAGUGAUAAUGCUGACAUGAGUAACGAUAAAGGAUCAUUAAGACAUAAAAUCUUAGAGUAUCCUCGCCUAAAGCUUAUGGAAUUUAUUAAAGUUACGGCCUCUAAGUUUAUUUUUUUUUUNC
rnacentral:rRNA from 1 species